GCCGGUGUAGCUCAGCUGGUAGAGCAACUGAUUUGUAAUCAGUAGGUCGCGGGUUCAAGUCCCGCCGCCGGCCAUA
rnacentral:tRNA from 1 species